GACGAACGCUGGCGGCGUGCUUAACACAUGCAAGUCGAACGGAAAGGCCCCUUUGGGGGUACUCGAGUGGCGAACGGGUGAGUAACACGUGCGUAACCUGCCCUUGACUUCGGGAUAACUUCAGGAAACUGGGGCUAAUACCGGAUAGGAAUCCUUGCUGCAUGGUGGGGGUUGGAAAGCUUAGGUGGUUUUGGAUGGACUCGCAGCUUAUCAGCUUGUUGGUGGGGUAGUGGCUUACCAAGGCUUUGACGGGUAGCCGGCCUGGGAGGGCGACCGGCCACAGUGGGACUGGGAUACGGCCCAGACUCCUACGGGAGGCAGCAGUGGGGAAUAUUGCACAAUGGGCGGGAGCCUGAUGCAGCAACGCCGCGUGCGGGAUGACGGCCUUCGGGUUGUAAACCGCUUUCAGCAGGGGCGAAGCUUGUGGUGACGGUACCUGCAGAAGAAGCACCGGCUAACUACGUG
rnacentral:rRNA from 1 species